UACGGAGGGUGCAAGCGUUGUUCGGAAUUACUGGGCGUAAAGCGCGUGUAGGUGGCUUGUAAUGUCAGGUGUGAAAGCCCUCGGCCUAACCGAGGAAGUGCGCCGGAAACUGCCCAGCUUGAGUACGAGAGAGGAGGACGGAAUUCCCAGUGUAGAGGUGAAAUUCGUAGAUAUUGGGAGGAACACCGGUGGCGAAAGCGGUUCUCUGGAUGGAUACUGACGCUGAGACGCGAAAGCGUGGGGAGCAAACAGG
rnacentral:rRNA from 1 species